rnacentral:tRNA from 1 species
UCCCAGGUGGCUCAAUGGUAAAGAAUCUGCCUGACAAACAGGAGACUUGGGUUCGAUCCCUGGGUUGGGAG